ACAUAACGGGCUUACACCUUGAUUGAACCAGUAAAUUUUUUAUCCAAAUCUCUUCAGCCUCGCCGCCCCACAUUCCUCUGUCCACCAUUCUAACGCCUCGCCUCCACCUUCACAACAUUUAACAAUUAUGUCCUUCAAUCAUUUUGUUCUAACUACGUGAUAAUUAAGUAUCCCCUCAUGUGUUGUUCCAAGUCUUUGAUCUUUAAAAUAGAGAUGCAGACCUCUACAUAUCUCAUCGCCUCAUCUUCUUCAUUGCUCUCUUUAGCUUUCAAACACAAGCUCCAACAAUGGCGAAUCCCCAAAUUUGAAAUCUGGUCGUUCUCGAGAGGCAGUUGUAGCACAUUUGCUUCGUGCCUCUUACACACCUCACAGUCAUCAUAUUUAUCACCCACCGCAGGUUGUGUGGCAUUGGAAGCAGGAAGUAUUGAUGUGUCAAGGAAAUUGAAUCUGUGAAGAGCUUAACGCAUACUUUCUCAAUUCUCCUAUGUAGGUACAUCGCCUAACUUAUCCACUCUACUAUAUUUUAACUCCUAAAUCUUUGACUCUUCACGUUCCUAACGCCAUCUCAACCCAAACUGCUGAAUGGUUCUUAUGUAUGGCUGCUACUACCUAUAAAAUAUGUAUCUUUUUUUUUUGCGUAGAUAAAAGUAUGUAUGUUUUAGACUGAGUUUUUAUGAGUUGUUGAUGUGACUGUGAGGUUUCUACUGUGAGGUUUCUUCUUGAGAUUGCGCUGUAUCUUUACUUUUUCCAAACUGUUUGUUCUUCAUUUCGGGGUUAAAAGUCAGAAACAACACCCGCAAGAUUCUCCAUUUCCAAUAGGACUGAACUCGCCAGAACGAAAGCAAAUAAAUAGAAGUUGGUUUUCAAAACACAUGCAACCAAUUGAAGGGAUGGCAGGACAAAGUAUUGGCAUAGAGAAACCAAAUGAGUGAGGUUGACUCACUCUGCAACUAACUUUUGGGUCAGAGAAAAAGCUGCAAUGAUCGAUGAUUUAACAAAAGGGCUAUAUGCCCACAAUCUAUGGAGAUUCUUCAUCAAAUACAUCAAAUUUAUUUAAGUGGCGAUGUACCAAAUUGGAAUACAGGUUCAAUAUAAGAGCUGGAAGAAGCUAGCAUAGCAGCAUCCACGAGUGAAAGGACAGUUCGGACCUUCUUGGAAGAUUGCGAUUUGGGAGCCAAAAGACUCAUUUUGUUGGUGGUAAGAGCUCCUGGUAUGAGUCUGUUAACCGAGCUCUGUGGCAAAAGGUGUAUCCGCUGCGGAAUGGUCUGGCUCUGCAUCCAAAUGCGGUUACUAAAGCUAGAAAACGCAUGCAAACUUUUCUUCAGAAGUUGAGAAACACUUGAAAGGAACGCAAGAUAAUCAUUUGCAGACAGUUUAGACCGUCGGAAGUUGCAGUGAAACUGACUGCAUAAGAAGACGGGAUGGAGGGUUGAAAUUUUCAAAAUUGAAGAUCUCACGGGCGGACACAGCAUAGAAGAAGGGCACCGUAUGAACCGCGUAAUGAGUAUCCCCUACAACCUGAUCACAAGACCACGCCACUUUGUGUUAGUUAUCUUUCGUUUGUUUGGUCUUUUCAUCCUCUUACCCGUAUAAACAUCAGAAGAACAAGUUUGUAUAUACAUAAAUUCAUUACCCAUGACACACUACACAAGAUAUAUAGUUUGACUUUACUUUUGUUCAUACGAAAUACAAUUUCUGUGUCAUUUUUGGAGAUGUGAUGUUUUAAUCUUAUGCUUAGAUUUUUUUUUA